rnacentral:rRNA from 1 species
UAGAGUUUGAUCAUGGCUCAGAUUGAACGCUGGCGGCAGGCCUAACACAUGCAAGUCGAGCGGAAACGACACUAACAAUCCUUCGGGUGCGUUAAUGGGCGUCGAGCGGCGGACGGGUGAGUAAUGCCUAGGAAAUUGCCUUGAUGUGGGGGAUAACCAUUGGAAACGAUGGCUAAUACCGCAUAAUGCCUACGGGCCAAAGAGGGGGAUCUUCGGACCCCUCGCGUCAAGAUAUGCCUAGGUGGGAUUAGCUAGUUGGUGAGGUAAUGGCUCACCAAGGCGACGAUCCCUAGCUGGUCUGAGAGGAUGAUCAGCCACACUGGAACUGAGACACGGUCCAGACUCCUACGGGAGGCAGCAGUGGGGAAUAUUGCACAAUGGGCGCAAGCCUGAUGCAGCCAUGCCGCGUGUAUGAAGAAGGCCUUCGGGUUGUGAAGUACUUUCAGUUGUGAGGAAGGGUGUGUAGUUAAUAGCUGCGCAUCUUGACGUUAGCAACAGAAGAAGCACCGGCUAACUCCGUGCCAGCAGCCGCGGUAAUACGGAGGGUGCGAGCGUUAAUCGGAAUUACUGGGCGUAAAGCGCAUGCAGGUGGUUCAUUAAGUCAGAUGUGAAAGCCCGGGGCUCAACCUCGGAACUGCAUUUGAAACUGGUGAACUAGAGUGCUGUAGAGGGGGGUAGAAUUUCA